rnacentral:lncRNA from 1 species
GCCCCCGGCCCCGGACGCUUCCCCCAGUCGCCGGGUCGGCUGCCCCUCCUCCAGCGGCCCCGCAGGGGAAGCAGGUGGCCGGUUUCUAAAGAAAAAAAGCCAAAACUUUUAUUAUUUACACGUUUGGGCAAAAGUACAAAGUAUAAUACAGGCGCCCAGCCCGGGGGUGCGGGCGCGGGGCGGAGUAACGUAAGGCGCUUCUUUGUCAGGCCCGGGCCUGGGGCGGGACGGGGCGCAGGGCGGGGGGCUCCGAUUGUGCAGCCGCGAGGACCUGGGCCCAGCCCCUUUCCGCGGCCGGCGCUGUGCUGCGCGCCCCAAGGCCCACGCGAGUCGGGCCGCCCUACCCCUCUCGGCCCAGCUUCCCUCCCCAGCCCGGCUGGGGGACCCGGGUGCCCCGCCUG